GGCAGAUAAGUGCGGUGGAUUUAAGCUCCACAAAUAAAGUUUAAACUUUCA
rnacentral:tRNA from 1 species